UGGUGCGAUCAUACCAGCAUUAAUGCACCGUAUCCCAUCAGAACUCGGCAUUUCAGCGUGCUUUGGCUAGAGUAGUACUCGGAUGGGUGACCUACCGGGAAGUCCUAGUGUUGCACCCU
rnacentral:rRNA from 1 species